rnacentral:tRNA from 1 species
AUUUAAGUAGUUUAAUAUAAAAUAUUGAUUUGUGGUGUCAUUGAUAUAGGGUCCUAUCUUAAAUA